rnacentral:rRNA from 2 species
UCUCGGGGGGCCUAUACAUGCAGUCGAACGAGUUUGCUUUUAAUGAAGGCGGUGCUUGCACCAACUGAUUUAAAAAUAAACGAGUGGCGGACGGGUGAGUAACACGUGGGUAACCUACCCUAAAGUGGGGGAUAACAUUUGGAAACAGAUGCUAAUACCGCAUAAUAUUAAAAACCACAUGGUUUUUAAUUGAAAGACGGCGUAAGCUGUCACUUUUGGAUGGACCCGCGGCGUAUUAGCUAGUUGGUGAGGUAACGGCUCACCAAGGCGAUGAUACGUAGCCGACCUGAGAGGGUGAUCGGCCACAUUGGGACUGAGACACGGCCCAAACUCCUACGGGAGGCAGCAGUAGGGAAUCUUCCACAAUGGACGAAAGUCUGAUGGAGCAACGCCGCGUGAGUGAAGAAGGUUUUCGGAUCGUAAAACUCUGUUAUUGGAGAAGAACGUAUUUGGUAGUAACUGGCCAGAUAGUGACGGUAUCCAAUCAGAAAGCCACGGCUAACUACGUGCCAGCAGCCGCGGUAAUACGUAGGUGGCAAGCGUUGUCCGGAUUUAUUGGGCGUAAAGCGAGUGCAGGCGGUUUUUUAAGUCUGAUGUGAAAGCCUUCGGCUUAACCGAAGAAAUGCAUUGGAAACUGGGAAACUUGAGUGCAGAAGAGGAGAGUGGAACUCCAUGUGUAGCGGUGAAAUGCGUAGAUAUAUGGAAGAACACCAGUGGCGAAGGCGGCUCUCUGGUCUGUAACUGACGCUGAGGCUCGAAAGCGUGGGUAGCAAACAGGAUUAGAUACCCUGGUAGUCCACGCCGUAAACGAUGAGUGCUAAGUGUUGGAGGGUUUCCGCCCUUCAGUGCUGCAGCUAACGCAUUAAGCACUCCGCCUGGGGAGUACGACCGCAAGGUUGAAACUCAAAGGAAUUGACGGGGGCCCGCACAAGCGGUGGAGCAUGUGUUUAAUUCGAAGCAACGCGAGAACCUUACCAGGUCUGACAUCUAGCGCAAUCUAGAGAUAGACGUUCCCUUCGGGACGCUAAGACAG